UACGUAGGGGGCAAGCGUUGUCCGGAAUCAUUGGGCGUAAAGCGCGUGUAGGCGGCCCGGUAAGUCUGCUGUGAAAGUCCAGGGCUCAACCCUGGAAUGCCGGUGGAUACUGUCGGGCUCGAAUCCGGAAGAGGCGAGUGGAAUUCCUGGUGUAGCGGUGAAAUGCGCAGAUAUCAGGAGGAACACCGAUGGCGAAGGCAGCUCGCUGGGACGGUACUGACGCUGAGACGCGAAAGCGUGGGGAGCAAACAGG
rnacentral:rRNA from 1 species